ACGAACGCUGGCGGCGUGCUUAACACAUGCAAGUCGAACGGAAAGGCCCUGCUUUUGUGGGGUGCUCGAGUGGCGAACGGGUGAGUAACACGUGAGUAACCUGCCCUUGACUUUGGGAUAACUUCAGGAAACUGGGGCUAAUACCGGAUAGGAGCUCCUGCUGCAUGGUGGGGGUUGGAAAGUUUCGGCGGUUGGGGAUGGACUCGCGGCUUAUCAGCUUGUUGGUGGGGUAGUGGCUUACCAAGGCUUUGACGGGUAGCCGGCCUGAGAGGGUGACCGGCCACAUUGGGACUGAGAUACGGCCCAGACUCCUACGGGAGGCAGCAGGGGGGAAUAUUGCACAAUGGGCGGAAGCCUGAUGCAGCAACGCCGCGUGCGGGAUAACGGCCUUCGGGUUGUAAACCGCUUUCGCCUGUGACGAAGCGUGAGUGACGGUAAUGGGUAAAGAAGCACCGGCUAACUACGUG
rnacentral:rRNA from 1 species